UCUGUUUGAUCCCGGCGGAGGCCACUGCUAUCGGGGUUCGAUUAAGCCAUGCGAGUCGAGAGGUGCAAGACCUCGGCAUACUGCUCAGUAACACGUGGACAACCUACCCUAAGGAGGGGGAUAACCCCGGAAAACUGGGGAUAAUACCCCAUAGACUACAGAAGCUGGAAUGCUCUGUAAUUGAAAGGCCCGCCGCCUUAGGAUGGGUCUGCGGCUGAUUAGGUUGUUGUUGGGGUAACGGCCCAACAAGCCUGUAAUCAGUACGGGUUGUGGGAGCAAGAACCCGGAGAUGGAUUCUGAGACACGAAUCCAGGCCCUACGGGGCGCAGCAGGCGCGAAAACUUUACAAUGCGGGAAACCGUGAUAAGGGAACCCCGAGUGCCCGUAAAUUCGGGCUGUUAACCUGUUUAAAAAGCAGGUGGAGAAAGGGCCGGGCAAGACCGGUGCCAGCCGCCGCGGUAAUACCGGCGGCUCGAGUGGUGGCCACUAUUACUGGGCUUAAAGCGUCCGUAGCUGGAUUGUUAAGUCUCUUGGGAAAUCUACCGGCUUAACCGAUAGGCGUUCAAGGGAUACUGGCAAUCUAGGGACCGGGAGAGGUGAGAGGUACUCCAGGGGUAGGAGUGAAAUCCUGUAAUCCUUGGGGGACCACCUGUGGCGAAGGCGUCUCACCAGAACGGCUCCGACAGUGAGGGACGAAAGCUGGGGGAGCAAACCGGAUUAGAUACCCGGGUAGUCCCAGCUGUAAACGAUGCGCGUUAGGUGUAUCGGUGACCACGAGUCACCGAGGUGCCGAAGAGAAAUCGUGAAACGUGCCGCCUGGGAAGUACGGUCGCAAGGCUGAAACUUAAAGGAAUUGGCGGGGGAGCACCACAACGGGUGGAGCCUGCGGUUUAAUCGGACUCAACGCCGGAAAGCUCACCAGAUAAGACAGCGGAAUGAUAGCCGGGCUGAAGACUCUGCUUGACUAGCUGAGAGGAGGUGCAUGGCCGUCGUCAGUUCGUACUGUGAAGCAUCCUGUUAAGUCAGGCAACGAGCGAGACCCA
rnacentral:rRNA from 1 species